ACUUGGAUGCAAACUGCUUUUCUAUUCAAAGUUUGGCUCUUCAUGUAAAAUAAUGCAAUGAUUUCUGUUCUGGAAGCAGAAUGACAGAAAUGCAAAAAGACAAACAACAAGAACAACAAAAAAAAUGCUACUUGGGCAGCUACAUGAAACUGAACACACCCGAGUAUGAAAAAAAAUAUUUAUGUCAAUGACACCGACAGGUAUUGCACUUAGGAAGAACAAGAAAACUGUACGCAGUGUUUAUACUUAAAAUCCCUAAAAUGUACCCUGUUUGAGGACACAAGGCCAGAUGUGUGCAAAGAGGAAAUAUAAAACAUUAGGUAAAAUUACAUUUACAUCCACCCAACAGUGUACGAACAUCACAAAGACAGCCCGACCGAUAUGGAUUUUUUUUUGAGUGCAGAAACAGAUAUUAGAGGUUAAACAAAAAAUAAAUUAAUAAUAAGAUAGAUAUCUGCAGAUAUGUACACAAAAAUGGCAUAAAUUCCAUUUUGUCAUCAAACCCUGAUGACAAUAAUAAUAAAAAUAUGGUUUCAUAGUUUAAACAUGAACUUUAUUAUAAAUAACUAUAUUCAACCAACAUUUAUCACACUGCCUUUCCUAGACUUGGCAGUUGCAGUGUCAUCACUCCACAUUUGUAUGAAAUAGACUUCUCAUUGAUUUUUGCCACACCUAGCUGUCAGCAUAGCGACCACUUGGCUCUAGUCGUAAAACAGCCACUGACUGAAAAUGAACAGUAGCUGUUCGCUUUGCCUGUGGCCAAGGGAUAUUUGACAGCACUGCAAACAAUGCCAUGAGAGCAUUGUCUGUUGAACAAACUAUGUAAUGACGCCAUUUCCGACAGCCAAGGUGUUUUACUGCAUCAUUUAUCCUGAAAAGUAAAAAGUUUUAUAUCGGCAUACAUAACUGUAUAUUCAUAAAAAGACUCAUAUCGGCCGAUAUUAUCUUCCCACCAGUAUAUCGGUCAGGCUAUAAUCGCAAACAUGGCUCCUGCCCAAAUUCAGCCAGAUGUGUUUCUGAACAUGACCUGUUUGGGGGGAUCGCAUAAAUUUACUUUGAUUGCUAAGGUUCGAGUUGCCAAACAGAUGACGCACCAGCAGCAUCGUUUGUGAAGCUAACACUGAGGCUUAAUGUCAAUCAACUUCUAACUCUGCCCACUUUCCUAGACAGCAAAACAUUCAUCUGGCCCUGGUUACACGAUCUCACUGUCAAAUCCAAAACCAAUCCCAUCGCUCACAAUUCAAACAAAAGGUUGUAUUGAUAGCCAAUCAGAAACCACCUGAGCAGGUGUCUAAGAUCACCAAAAAAAAAAAAAA